CUGACCUCAAGUGAUCCGCCCACCUCGGCCUCCCAAAGUGCUGAGAUUAGAGACGUGAGCCACCAUGCCCGACCAGGUUUCUAGUCCAUAAGUUGACCAUAAAGUUAUGGGGAUAAAAAAUAGAUUCAUUCAUUCAACAAAUAGUUACCAAGUGCCUGCCGUGUACCUAGGUUUGGAGUUAGAACAGAAUCUUCGUAAUUAUAGAGCUUACAUUCUAGUGAUGAAAAGCAAAUCAGAUUUGAGCUUGUAUGUGAAGCUGAGAUGUUUUCUGAUAUUAGUAUGGGCUCAGGGAUUGUCUUCUAAUUACAGUUUUAUCCUUACUCUUAUAAUUUAUAGUUUAUGUAUAAUUACUGUAUUUAAUCUAAAAGUAAAGUUGGGCCAUUUAUUUUGCUUAAACUUGGGGGUGUUUAACAUCAAUAUUGUAGGAAGGAGUCUCUGAAGGUGAGAGAAGAUAAAGUGUAGCAUAACGAGCUUCCUUUUCUGAAAAGAAAGGAACUUCUUGUAAAGACUGUUCAUCCAUGCAUUACCUCUGCACAUUGUGAGACUUGUGAACUACAAAAGAAAGCAUGAAAGUUGUGAGAAUAGGAUGCCUUCUCUAGAGCAUAGACUUGAAUAGCAGACAGACCUGGAUAGAGUCCGUCUUUGGUACUUAACAGAUGCUGCUUGCACAAGGCACUUCAUCUUGCAGAGCUUUAAUUUUCUCAUCUACAGAAUGCAGUAAACCAAAGGUUCUCUUGACAAUAAGGGAUUAUAUAUAAAGAGCCUAGCAUUGUUUCUGACAUGUAAUAGACCCUCAGUUAAAUAAUAGCUGCUAUUAUUUCUGGGUUUAUUGUUAUUAAAGUAGGAUUUUUUUUUUAAAUCUGUGAAUUUGAAUUCCAAAGAAUUCGGUCCUGCAAACUUAGAAAUUGGGUAGAUGCUAAACUUACUCUGUUCACCUCUUUUUGGUGAGAUUAUGAAAAAUAUUUGUUUUAUUUAGUAUCUCAGCAUCAUUAAUGACAUUGACCCAUUUUCUUACCCUUCUCAAAAUUUACGCAGUGUAUAAUAACUAUUAGGUCUAACAAAAUGGGAGAAUUGUAAAUAAUUACAAUAGCUGCUGCUUAUUGAGCACGUAUGUUCCAGAUACUGCACAGAACUCUUAACAUAUAUCCUUACAUUUAUUCCUUACCGUAACCUUUUGAGGGAGAUAAUGAUAUUCUCAUUUUAUAGUUGAAGAAAUUUAGGCGUGGAGAAAGAAAGUAACUUGCCCCAAGACUAGUCAAGUGGCAGGGCCAUGAUUAGAACCUAGUCUAACUCCAGGACGUGUUUUUGGCCACUGUGCAUAGUGCCUGCCUCUCAAGAGUUUGCCUGAUGUAGUCAAAUUGAUGACAAAGAUUAAUCUGCCUUCUGCUAACCCUGAAAACUCAAAGUUCUUUCAAACAGCAUGUGAAGUUCCAAGGUUUAUGGUGAUGAAUAUGAAAAAGAAUGUACCAAAAGAUAAAAAAGCAAAAAUAAGAUGCUGAUUUUCAUCUCCUGUUGUGCCAUAUGAAUGGACUCAUGCUUAACCCAUUUGGGGAAAAUACAGAAACCUAGAGCCAUGUUUUUGCUACUAGGAGAUUUGACAGGAAAUCCAGAAGGUGAGUUCAAAGAAAUAAGAGUAAGAAACACGGGAACAUGUAAAAACCAGUAAUAGUAAUAAAGAAAUAAAGCUAGAAGAAGAAAAUUAUAUGCCAACUUCUGGUGAUAUGCGAGACAAGUUAUAUUCUUAUCAUAUGUUGAUCACUGGGGCACAGAUGCACACCAAAACUUAUUACAACCUGCAAUUUCAAGGGACUAAUGCAGUGAAGUCCUUUGUGGUAUUAUGUUUCUGAUUUUUUUUGAAACCGUUAGCUUUUGAGUAAAGAUAUAAGCCUCCCAGUGAGCCUCUGCUGAUACUCAUGAAACCACAUGGCUUAUGUGCUGCAGCAGCUGCAGCGCCCCAUUCAUUCUGCUAGCCGUUAGCCAUAGUAGACAACGAAGGUGUCAGGUUAUAUGCUGCCUAUAGGCUGAAACCAUGUCUCACUGACCUUUAUUCCUCAGUGCCUCCUGAGCCCAGCACAUAGUAAUUGCAUGGUAGUCACGUUGUGUGGCUCACACCUGUAAUCCCAGUGCUAUGGGAGGAUUGUUUGAGGCCAGGAGUUUGCAACCAGCCUGCGCAAUAAAGCUAUACCCCAUCUCU